rnacentral:lncRNA from 13 species
GGCCCAUAGUUCUGGUGCAUUGGAAGGGUUCUGGAAUUUUAGAACACAAAGUAGCAGUUUUAAAUAAUGAGAGAAGAUUCCACAUGGAACGCUCAUCUGGCUGUGGCAGCCUGUGACUGAAUGAGAGAAAAGUGCCCUAGAAGCUAUUCAUUACGAAUUCACUGGAAGCUCUCAAACGAGGCUGGCAGAAGCUGAAAUUGAAGUGGUCUCUGACCUAAUUUUCUUCUGCAUGAAACAUCUGCAUCAAGGCUCUCUUUGAUGUAUUCCACUUGGCUCUGUCUAUAGGAUUGUAUCACAUGGACUCGGUGUUGCCUCCUUAUUGAAAGACAUUUCCAGCCUUUGCAAGAUUCAUCUCACUGCUAAUUCAUAUUCAGCUUCUUCCCCAACAUAAUUUCUAAGGCAGAAGUUUGAAAGCUGGUACCAAUCCAUGGCCUGUUGAGAACUAGGCCUCACAACAGGAGUGUCUAUUGUUGCCAUCUUUAUAUCUUUGAGGACCCAAUAUUCAGUUCCCACUUAAAAAUGAGAACAUGUAGCCUUUGUUUUUCUGCUACUGCAUUAAUUUGCUUGGAAUAAUGGUCUCCAGCUCCAUCGAUGUUGCUGCAAAGGAC